AUUGAACGCUGGCGGCAGGCCUAACACAUGCGAGUCGAACGGUAACAGGAAGCAGCUUGCUGCUUUGCUGACGAGUGGCGGACGGGUGAGUAAUGUCUGGGAAACUGCCCGAUGGAGGGGGAUAACUACUGGAAACGGUAGCUAAUACCGCAUAACGUCGCAAGACCAAAGAGGGGGACCUUAGGGCCUCUUGCAUUGGAGGUGGCCCGAUGGGAUUAGCUAGUAGGUGGGGUAAAGGCUUACCUAGGCGACGAUCCCUAGCUGGUCUGAGAGGAUGACCAGCCACACUGGAACUGAGACACGGUCCAGACUCCUACGGGAGGCAGCAGUGGGGAAUAUUGCACAAUGGGCGCAAGCCUGAUGCAGCCAUGCCGCGUGUAUGAAGAAGGCCUUCGGGUUGUAAAGUACUUUCAGCGGGGAGGAAGGGAGUAAAGUUAAUACCUUUGCUCAUUGACGUUACCCGCAGAAGAAGCACCGGCUAACUCCGUG
rnacentral:rRNA from 1 species